rnacentral:rRNA from 1 species
GAUGAACGCUGGCGGCGUGCCUAAUACAUGCAAGUCGAGCGAACAGACGAGGAGCUUGCUCCUCUGACGUUAGCGGCGGACGGGUGAGUAACACGUGGAUAACCUACCUAUAAGACUGGGAUAACUUCGGGAAACCGGAGCUAAUACCGGAUAAUAUAUUGAACCGCAUGGUUCAAUAGUGAAAGACGGUUUUGCUGUCACUUAUAGAUGGAUCCGCGCCGCAUUAGCUAGUUGGUAAGGUAACGGCUUACCAAGGCAACGAUGCGUAACCGACCUGAGAGGGUGAUCGGCCACACUGGAACUGAGACACGGUCCAGACUCCUACGGGAGGCAGCAGUAGGGAAUCUUCCGCAAUGGGCGAAAGCCUGACGGAGCAACGCCGCGUGAGUGAUGAAGGUCUUCGGAUCGUAAAACUCUGUUAUUAGGGAAGAACAAAUGUGUAAGUAACUAUGCACGUCUUGACGGUACCUAAUCAGAAUGCCACGGCUAACUACGUG